GCGGAAGUGGCUGGGCGUCAUAACGCACACAUCAGCGGAAGAGGACGAAAGCAGCUGGUCGUGAGAAUCCGCCAGGGGAAGAGCGCACCGACAGGUACCGUAGGCCGUCGAUCGUCGGAAAGACACGGAGUUUGGCCGGAAUGAUCAGAGAAGAGUUUGGCCAGAGGGGUCAGAGAAGACUCCAGGGGAAAACCAUCUCCCUUGUGACUCCACCAUCUUCUGAGAGCUACUUCUACUUAAUAAAACCUUGCACUCAUUCUCCAAGCCCACAUGUGAUCCGAUUCAUCCAGUACACCAAGCUCAACUGAUCUCCUGACACACAGAAAGGACAAAAAACAAAUAGCAAUCUGUCCAGGGACAUCUAGAUGAUAGAAGUUCCUUCAGAUGGGUCCCUGGUGUGAGGGUGUCCUGUAUCAGACUGCCUAUUGAAGUUCAACCUGCGGUUCAAGACAGGAUCUCAUUCAGAAUACUACUUUCAUUCAGGCUGGAGUGCAGUGGAACGACCUUAGCUGUCUGCAACUUCCGCCUCCUGGGCUCAAGCGAUUCUCCUGCCUCAGGCUCUGGAGUAGCUGGGACUACAGGCAUGCGCCACAACACCAGCCACCAAAGAUUUGCUGUCAUCCACACAGAAGAAUAAAAAGAUGAAAUAUCAAACAUGAUAAUCCUCUCAGAAUCCUCAUGUGUUAGUUUCCUGGAGCUGCUAUAACAGAGUACCACAAAUGGAGUGGCUUAAAGCAACAUAAAUGUGUUCUGUCCUGAAGGCUGGAAGUGAGAAAUCAAGGUGUCAACAGGGAGAGUUCCUUCUGAGGGUUCUGAGGGGGACUCUGUUUCACGCCGCUCUCCAAGCUUGUGGUGAUGGCUGACAAUCAUUGGCAUUCCUAGGUUUGUAGAUGCAACCCUCCAACCUCUGCCUCCAUCUUCACAUGGCAUUGUCACCAUGCCUUUACCCAUUAUCCCUCAUAAAGAUGCUAGCCACACUGAUACAGGAGCCCACCCUACUCCAUUGAUCUUACCUUUUCUAUUCUGAAAUGCUGUAAUUUCCAAAUAAGGUCAUCUUCUGAGCUACCGGGGUUAGUACUUUGACAUGUACUUUGGAAAGAUACAAUUCACUGAUAAUACCCCAUUAAGAAAUCUCCCUAAAUGACUCCUCUGAUGAGUUGAACUAGCUGAGCUGUCUUCCCACUCCACUCUCAAACCACAUAGAGGUUUACCAGCCACCUGCCUGCCAUUCUGAAGACUGGACAAUUACACUUUUGUUUGUAUUGCUUUGUGGCAUUUGUUACAAAGAGACUAUUUUAAAACUAUUGAGUCUACAAGUUAUUCUAAUAGACCUAUGCCACACAUUGUACCCUCAUAUGUUGAUUUUAUUUCCCAUGUGGCCAAAGAUGCUGCAUAUGAAAAAAGGGAGAGGCUCCUAAACUUAUAUGAGACCAUCCAUCACAAAUCAGACUGACAUCUUCUCAUACAGGUGAGGGAAGCUAUGGCACUUUAAUCCCUGACUAAUACUCUUACUUUAAAAAUCACCUGUAGUCAUCCAUUAGCCAAUAUUUUAAGAGAAACAAGCUAGAGGAGACAGCUCUAUCAAUACGAAAGUGGCUACUUUUAAAAGUGACCUUGCUUAUUGAAUACUCAGCAUUAUAAAGGAGUAGCAUUUUAUGCACACACACAGCCUAGUAAAUGCUGUGCAGAGAAGAAAGCUCUAGAGAAUGAUAACAUGUCUGUUAGCAGAAAUGAAACUUGUUAAAAUGUGACCUAGACCAACCUGCCGUCAAAUCAGUGGAGCAAAAUCCUCUGUGAGCCAACAGAAAGCAUCGCGCCAACAUCGAACAAGACAUCACCUAGUUGCAUGUUUUUGUGUAUAUUCUUUGUGAUCCAUGCUUAGAAUUCUGUACAUUUACAAAUUCUCUGGUGAGAAACUUGCAAUUUGAUUAAAAACCUUAAAUCUAGAAUUUUCAUAAAAAACAUAUUGGAUCUCCCUUAGCAAAAGAUUAUAUUAAAAGAGGAACAUUAUGAGAGUAAGUUAAUGUAGAAUCUCAUCUAAUUUCAAAAUCAGAUCAUUUGACCAACUUAAUAUUUUGAAUUUACUAAUCUUGCUAAUUAAAAGUACAUUGUAUUUGUGUCUGUUAACAUAUUUAUAUAAAGUCUUCAUCAAUCUGUUGUCUGUGCUCUGACAGUUUCAUUCUGUCUGUAUACUACUUGAUUGACCUAUUUGUAAUCAGGCUGAUGUGGAAUAAAUGCCUUUUCAUAUUUGCAAUGAAUCUAAGUAUCACUAUAUUCCAGCUAUGAGGUGUAUGUAAUAUAGAUAAUAGAGUAUAUACUUCUUGCAAAGUUACAUAUAUUUGCUAUACCAUCAAAUCAGUUUAGCCAUUUUGGAACCACGCUACC